rnacentral:rRNA from 1 species
UACGUAGGUGGCAAGCGUUGUCCGGAAUUAUUGGGCGUAAAGCGCGCGCAGGUGGUUCCUUAAGUCUGAUGUGAAAGCCCACGGCUCAACCGUGGAGGGUCAUUGGAAACUGGGGAACUUGAGUGCAGAAGAGGAAAGUGGAAUUCCAAGUGUAGCGGUGAAAUGCGUAGAGAUUUGGAGGAACACCAGUGGCGAAGGCGACUCUUUGGUCUGUAACUGACGCUGAGGCGCGAAAGCGUGGGGAGCAAACAGG